GAUGAACGCUGGCGGCGUGCCUAAUACAUGCAAGUCGAGCGAACGGACGAGAAGCUCGCUUCUCUGAUGUUAGCGGCGGACGGGUGAGUAACACGUGGAUAACCUAUCUAUAAGACUGGGAUAACUUCGGGAACCCGUAGAUAAUACCGGAUAAUAUUUUGAACCGCAUGGUUCAAAAGUGGAAGAAGGUCUUGCUGUCACUUAUAGAUGGAUCCGCGCUGCAUUAGCUAGUUGGUAAGGUAACGGCUUACCAAUGCAACGAUGCAUAGCCGACCCGAGAGUGUGAUCGGCCACACUGGAACUGGGACACGGUCCAGACUCCUACGGGAGGCAGCAGUAGCGAAUCGGCCGCAAUGGGCGAAAGCCUGACGGAGCAGCGCCGCGUGAGUGAGGAAGGUCUUCGGAUCGGAAAACUCUGUUAUUAGGGAAGAACAUAUGUGUAAGUAACUGUGCACAUCUUGACGGUACCUAAUCAGAAAGCCACGGCUAACUACGUG
rnacentral:rRNA from 1 species